GCAAACUUGGUCAUUUAGAGGAAGUAAAAGUCGUAACAAGGUCUCCGUUGGUGAACCAGCGGAGGGAUCAUUAUAGAGUUAUAAAAACUCCCAACCCAUGUGAACAUUACCUUUGUUGCCUCGGCGGAGAUCAAAAUCCGCCGAUGGUCCACUAAACUCUUGUUUAUAUUAUAAGCAUCUGAGUGUUUUACUUAAUAAGUCAAAACUUUCAACAACGGAUCUCUUGGUUCUGGCAUCGAUGAAGAACGCAGC
rnacentral:misc_RNA from 1 species